CAGGCCUAACACAUGCAAGUCGAGCGGAAAGGCCACUUCGGUGGUACUCGAGCGGCGAACGGGUGAGUAACACGUGAGUAAUCUGCCCCUGGCUUUGGGAUAGCCACCGGAAACGGUGAUUAAUACCGGAUACGACAACUUCUCGCAUGGGAUGGUUGUGGAAAGUUUUUCGGCCAGGGAUGUGCUCGCGGCCUAUCAGCUUGAUGGUGAGGUAAUGGCUCACCAUGGCUUCGACGGGUAGCCGGCCUGAGAGGGUGACCGGUCACACUGGGACUGAGACACGGCCCAGACUCCUACGGGAGGCAGCAGUGGGGAAUAUUGGACAAUGGGCGGAAGCCUGAUCCAGCAACGCCGCGUGAGGGAUGACGGCCUUCGGGUUGUAAACCUCUUUCGCCUGUGACGAGCGCAAGUGACGGUAACAGGUAAAGAAGCACCGGCCAACUACGUGCCAGCAGCCGCGGUAAUACGUAGGGUGCGAGCGUUGUCCGGAAUUAUUGGGCGUAAAGGGCUCGUAGGCGGUUUGUCGCGUCGGGAGUGAAAACCAGGUGCUUAACACCUGGCUUGCUUUCGAUACGGGCAGACUAGAGGUAUUCAGGGGAGAACGGAAUUCCUGGUGUAGCGGUGAAAUGCGCAGAUAUCAGGAGGAACACCGGUGGCGAAGGCGGUUCUCUGGGAAUGACCUGACGCUGAGGAGCGAAAGUGUGGGGAGCGAACAGGAUUAGAUACCCUGGUAGUCCACACCGUAAACGUUGGGCGCUAGGUGUGGGGUCCAUUCCACGGAUUCCGUGCCGCAGCUGACGCAUUUAGCGCCCCGCCUGGGGAGUACGGCCGCAAGGCUAAAACUCAA
rnacentral:rRNA from 1 species